rnacentral:rRNA from 1 species
AGCGAACGCUGGCGGCGUGCCUAACACAUGCAAGUCGAACGUGAAAAGGGAAACCUGAGUAAAGUGGCGUACGGGUGAGUAACGCGUAGGUAAUCUACCCCAGAAUCUGGAAUAACCUGCCGAAAGGCGGGCUAAUACUGGAUAGAGCGAGGGAACUCGUAAGAGAGUUUUUCGGGAAAGGGAGCCCGCAAGGGCCUUCGUUCUGGGAUGAGCCUGCGUCUCAUUAGCUAGUUGGUAAGGUAACGGCUUACCAAGGCGAUGAUGAGUAGCUGGUCUGAGAGGAUGAUCAGCCACACUGGAACUGAAACACGGUCCAGACUCCUACGGGAGGCAGCAGUGGGGAAUCUUGCGCAAUGGACGAAAGUCUGACGCAGCCACGCCGCGUGAAUGAAGAAGGCCUUCGGGUUGUAAAGCUCUGUCGGAUGGGACGAACAUCUUCACAGUGAAUAGCUAUGAGGACUGACGGUACCAUCAAAGGAAGCACCGGCUAACUCCGUG